AGGUGGUAAAUCCUGGCCAAGGCUCCUCGAGCCAGGCCGGCUGGCAGUGCUGCAUCGUGCUGAAGGCGCUGAGGUUGCAGCGGAUGCAUUCCGGGCCAGUGAUAUGAUGUGGACAGGAAAAGUCUUUUGUUCUGGGAAAAUGGAGGACUGAAACCUCUUCAUGUCUUUUUCCCAGGCCCUGAUUUAGGAAGACCAAAACAGGGACUUCUACAGUAGCAGCUUAAUCAGCAGAUGCUGGGUGGUCGCCUCUGCACAUGGCCUGGGGGGCGGGGCGCCUUACCGCGUCACACUGGGUGGAUGGGCCUGUGUGUGGCCUCUCUCCAGCUGUGGCUGACAGUACUCACUCAGCCCAGGCUUCCAGGCCCUCCUGGGCCCUCCUAUCCACUGAAGGAAAUGGGAGAUGAGUGGGUAAUGGAAAAGCCUUUGGAGUCAGAUGUAAAUCCAUGACUUGACCACUUAUUGCUGUGAGACCCUGGACAGCUGGAUAUAGAGUUCUUGUUCUAGCAUCCGCCCUGGGAAUCCCCGGAACUGGGCCUCUUACCGACACCAUUGCCUGUAAUCCACAAACCUAGGAGUUACUCCAGUUACUGUCCUACUGAAGGACCCCCAUCCCAUCUGGGCUACUAUAACCACAUGGACCAUCCCUUGCUUCAAUCAUAGAAUUCUUUCUUCAGAUCAAAGUAUAUUCAGACACUCGAUACAGUAACAAAAGCAAGCUAUCCUGGAAGGAAGAAGGAAUCAGGAGGCAGAGCACAUGGUUAAAGCAUGAGAUGUGAAACCAGGAAGAACCAGGUCUGAACCUUAGCUCCACCAGUGGUAGCUUCAAACCUUGGUCCUUUCUGAGCCUGCUUCUUCAACCGUAAGGAACUCGGAAACGGGACCCAGAAAGUUGUUUUCUCAAGUGGAUGGAACAACACAAGCAAUCAUUCUCUGCAUCUUAAUUCCCUCAUCUGUAAAAUGGAAAUAAUACACCUACCUUCUCAGUUUACUGUGAGGAAAAAACGAAUCAAUACAUAUAUAAAGCACCUGGCACAGUGCGUGGCAUAGGAGGUUUCCUUGGGAAUUCCUUCAGAAGUUAAAUAGCUUACCCAAGGUGUCACAACUACGUAAGGUGGCCCAGCUCAAGAUUCAAAUGCAAGUUCAUAUGAUUCUGAA
rnacentral:lncRNA from 1 species